CUGUCUCUUUAGCGGCUCGGUUUGCUUGGAUCAUACUCUCCGGCUUCUAAUGGAGACGUUGAUGAUGUCGACUCUUGGUGGCACUUCAGUCGCUGGAAGAGCCCCUCUUCCUUAGGGAUCCACGGGGACAGAGCAAGAUUAAAAAAACUCAGACACACAGAUAACAUUAACCUUGAAAACUCACAAGUAUUUCACAGCUCAUCGAUGUCAGUGAGUUAACAAUCAAAGGGAAUUUUACUCGAAUUGAGAAUGGCAGUAAGAGGACCUAGAUAUAUGGCAGCAGGUAUAGAGGCCGGCGCCGAUUGAGAAGAGCCCGUCAGUGGCCGGGAGGGAGAAGCAGAUGUUUACGUCAGUUUCUUCUAUCUCUUUCUAUGGGGAUGGGGAUUUGGGAAGUGGCCAUUGGUGGUGGAAUGAGUCAUCGUUCUCAUUGCUGUCCCUCUCUUUCCUCGUCAGCGGUGUCAAGACGUGUCGACGGUCAAGUUAACCCCGCCGUCACGUACUCACGCAUGGUCGAAACAUGGCGAAGAGAUAGACGGACGGCUGAGAUGGGCCUGUCGAUGAUCAAGUUAACCACGUCGUCACGCACGGAGGUGGACCCCGGACAGCCAAGCUGUUUUGGCAGCUCAACCACAUCUCUCCACGGAUUCAAACCGGUAGAGAUUUUAUUUUUCUGCACUCGGACGGUUAUUGGGACCUAUAUCAACAUCCAUCAUGCAGUCAGUGUGAUCCCUCGAACGAUCACGUUAGCGUGAGACUGAGAAAAAGAAAUGUGGAAGAGCAUAAAGGCUUGGGCUCUCAUAAAGAGAAGUUUGCCUUCGGUCAUCAUCAUCAUCCGCGGAUCAUAACAGGAUCGGUAAGAUCAAAGCAAGAUUGAUGUAAGAUCAAUAAAAAGUUUAAGGAAUCAUAACUUUUGAUUCAA